AUUGAACGCUGGCGGCAGGCCUAACACAUGCAAGUCGAACGGUAACAGGAAACAGCUUGCUGUUUCGCUGACGAGUGGCGGACGGGUGAGUAAUGUCUGGGAAACUGCCUGAUGGAGGGGGAUAACUACUGGAAACGGUAGCUAAUACCGCAUAACGUCGCAAGACCAAAGAGGGGGACCUUCGGGCCUCUUGCCAUCGGAUGUGCCCAGAUGGGAUUAGCUAGUAGGUGGGGUAACGGCUCACCUAGGCGACGAUCCCUAGCUGGUCUGAGAGGAUGACCAGCCACACUGGAACUGAGACACGGUCCAGACUCCUACGGGAGGCAGCAGUGGGGAAUAUUGCACAAUGGGCGCAAGCCUGAUGCAGCCAUGCCGCGUGUAUGAAGAAGGCCUUCGGGUUGUAAAGUACUUUCAGCGGGGAGGAAGGGAGUAAAGUUAAUACCUUUACUCAUUGACGUUACCCGCAGAAGAAGCACCGGCUAACUCCGCG
rnacentral:rRNA from 1 species